rnacentral:rRNA from 1 species
ACGGCCAUACAACAUUGAAAACACCGGUUCUCGUUCGAUCACCGAAGUUAAGCAAUGUCGGGUCCGGUCAGUACUUGGGAGGGUGACCACCUGGGAACACCGGGUGUUGUAGGCU